UUAAAGGAAUUGACGGGACCCGCACAAGCGGUGGAUGAUGUGGUUUAAUUCGAUGCAACGCGAAAACCUUACCACCUUUGACAUGGCAGGAAUCCCGAAGAGAUUGGGAGUGCUCGAAAGAGAACCUGCACACAGGUGCUGCAUGGCUGUCGUCAGCUCGUGUCGUGAGAUGUUGGGUUAAGUCCCGCAACGAGCGCAACCCUUGCCAUUAGUUGCUACGAAAGGGCACUCUAAUGGGACUGCCGGUGACAAACCGGAGGAAGGUGGGGAUGACGUCAAGUCCUCAUGGCCCUUAUAGGUGGGGCUACACACGUCAUACAAUGGCCGGUACAGAGGGUAGCCAACCCGCGAGGGGGAGCCAAUCCCACAAAGCCGGUCGUAGUCCGGAUCGCAGUCUGCAACUCGACUGCGUGAAGUCGGAAUCGCUAGUAAUCGUGGAUCAGCAUGUCACGGUGAAUACGUUCCCGGGUCUU
rnacentral:rRNA from 1 species